CCUACGGGAGGCAGCAGUGGGGAAUAUUGCACAAUGGGGGAAACCCUGAUGCAGCGACGCCGCGUGAGUGAAGAAGUAUUUCGGUAUGUAAAGCUCUAUCAGCAGGGAAGAAAAUGACGGUACCUGAUUAAGAAGCCCCGGCUAACUACGUGCCAGCAGCCGCGGUAAUACGUAGGGGGCAAGCGUUAUCCGGAUUUACUGGGUGUAAAGGGAGCGUAGACGGCAGCACAAGUCUGGAGUGAAAUGCCGGGGCUUAACCCCGGAACUGCUUUGGAAACUGUGCAGCUAGAGGGCAGGAGAGGUAAGUGGAAGUCGUGGUGUAGCGGUGAAAGGCGUGGAUAUUAGGAGGAACACCAGUGGCGAGGGCGGCUUACUGGACUGUAACUGACGUUGAGGCUCGAAGGCGUGGGGAGCAAACAGGAUUGGAUACCCGGUAGUC
rnacentral:rRNA from 1 species